CCUACGGGAGGCAGCAGUGGGGAAUAUUGCGCAAUGGGGGCAACCCUGAUGCAGCAACGCCGCGUGGAGGAAGAAGGCUUUCGGGUUGUAAACUCCUUUUAUGAGGGAAGAAGAUAGCGAUGGUUACCGAGUAAUCACCCGCUAACAACGUGGCAGCAGCCGCGGUAGUACGGAGUGGGCAAGCGUUAUCCGGAUUUACUGGGGGUAGGGGGGGCCGAGUCGGGAAAGCAAGUCAGAUGUGAAAGCCCAGGGCGCAACCAUGGGACUGCAUUUGAAACUGUUUUUCUAGAGUGCAGGAGAGGCAGGCGGAAUUCCGGGUGUAGCGGUGAAAUGCGUAGAGAUACGGAGGAACACCGGUGGCGAAGGCGGACUGCUGGACAGUAACUGACGCUGAGGCGCGAAAGCGUGGGGAGCAAACAGGAUUAGAUACCCUAGUAGUC
rnacentral:rRNA from 1 species